rfam:Astyanax mexicanus chromosome 18, whole genome shotgun sequence.
UAGGGAUAACCUUGUAAGUCGCUCUGGAUAAGAGCGUCAGCUAAAUGCCGUAAA